GCUGGCCCCGCGAUAUUGCGAGAAGUCCACUGAACCUUAUCAUUUAGAGGAAGGAGAAGUCGUAACAAGGUUUCCGUAGGUGAACCUGCGGAAGGAUCAUUGUCGAAACCUGCAAAGCAGAAUGACCAGUGAACGUGUUAUUACCCUACAUCGACAAUGUGCAGGUCUUGUCCCAAAACAUUGUCGAAAAAACUAAUCAUCGAGCGCGGUAUGCGCCAAGGAAAACCUGUAAGAACAUAACUGCCUUAUUGUGGCAUUGAAACGGUGGUCACUUUUGGCAUGCGUCUGUUCAAUAAGUCAAAACGACUCUCGGCAACGGAUAUCUCGGCUCUCGCAUCGAUGAAGAACGUAGCGAAAUGCGAUACGUGGUGUGAAUUGCAGAAUUCCGUGAAUCAUCGAGUUUUUGAACGCAAGUUGCGCCCAAAGCCUUUUGGUUGAGGGCACGCCUGCUUGGGCGUCACGCACCGUUGCCCCCUCAUUAAGCCUAUCACUCGUCAAACGAGUGGUCAGCUUGUUGGGCGGGCGUAAAUUGGCUUCCCGUUUGCUUGUCUUACGGUUGGCCUAAAAUUGAAUUCCUCAGUCGCGAUUGCCGUGGCACAUGGUGGCAUACAAACAAAUUGUAACCUGCCACGUGCGUUUGUUGGCUAAUGGACCAUGCAAACCCAAAUGUGCCCUCCUUUANSGGUUGGUGCUUCCAACGCGACCCCAGGUCAGGCGGGAUUACCCCGCCUGAAUUUAAGCCAUUAUCAAUUAAGCGGGAAGGAAAAAGAAAACUU
rnacentral:rRNA from 1 species